rnacentral:rRNA from 1 species
CAUGCUAGACGAGUUGAUCAUGGCUCAGAACGACGCUGGCGGCAGGCCUAACACAUGCAAGUCGAACGCGUCCUUCGGGACGAGUGGCAGACGGGUGAGUAACGCGUGGGAACGUACCCUUUGGUUCGGAACAACUCCGGGAAACUGGAGCUAAUACCGGAUAAGCCCUUCGGGGGAAAGAUUUAUCGCCAGAGGAUCGGCCCGCGUUAGAUUAGCUUGUUGGUGAGGUAAUGGCUCACCAAGGCUACGAUCUAUAGCUGGUCUGAGAGAAUGAUCAGCCACACUGGCACUGGAACACGGUCCAGACUCCUACGGGAGGCAGCAGUGGGGAAUUUUGGACAAUGGGCGCAAGCCUGAUCCAGCCAUGCCGCGUGAGUGAAGAAGGCCUUCGGGUUGUAAAGCUCUUUCAGCCGGGAAGAAAACGCAUGGGUUAAUACCCUGUGUGGAUGACGGUACCGGAAUAAGAAGCACCGGCUAACUACGUG